GCACUGCCUUUGAACUGGUGUAUGGUCUGCCUCCAUGGCCUCAUUGGUUACGCUGCAGUGCAAAAAUAAAUAACUUGCUUAUAACUGGUGUUGCUCAGCUGAAACCUGAGUGAUAUUUUUAAGGGCAAGUUACAUUU
ensembl:snoRNA